AAAACAAUAAAUAACCCGAUAAGUAUAAAUAUAAAUAAUACUGCAACACUACUACUGGGUAGCAUAAAACCUUUUAUUAAAUUAAUUUAACGCCAUAGGAUUUAUUGGAUCAGAAUAUACAGUUUUAGAGAUUCGUUUGGGUUGUAUAACGGUUCGUUAAAUAUACGAUCACUUGAUUACCUAUCUAGUCUUUGUAGUUUGUCGAUCUUAUCACCUGAAAAUUUAUGGCGUAAAUAUUGAUCAUCGUAAUUUUAUUUGUAAACGAUUUAUAAUAUUAACAUAUUCCGAAAUAACCAAACAUGAAAAUUGAUCCUCUUUGAAAAAAUAUAAUUUUGUGAUACGUCCAAAGCGAUUUUAAUAUAUCAGCUGAAUAUGUAAAGCUAAAACCAGCUAACAA